CGUUCUAUGGCCGAAUUGGUAAAGGCAUCGCCGAUCACAGGCGAGGUUGUGGAUUCGAGUCCCGCUGGAACGA
rnacentral:tRNA from 1 species